rnacentral:rRNA from 1 species
AACGAACGCUGGCGGCAUGCCUAACACAUGCAAGUCGAACGAGACCUUCGGGUCUAGUGGCGCACGGGUGCGUAACGCGUGGGAACCUGCCCUUAGGUUCGGAAUAACUCCCCGAAAGGGGUGCUAAUACCGGAUAAUGUCUUCGGACCAAAGAUUUAUCGCCUUUGGAUGGGCCCGCGUUGGAUUAGCUAGUUGGUAGGGUAAAAGCCUACCAAGGCGACGAUCCAUAGCUGGUCUGAGAGGAUGAUCAGCCACACUGGGACUGAGACACGGCCCAGACUCCUACGGGAGGCAGCAGGGGGGAAUAUUGGACAAUGGGCGAAAGCCUGAGCCAGCAAGGCCGCGUGAGUGAUGAAGGCCUUAGGGUUGUAAAGCUCUUUUACCCGGGAUGAUAAUGACAGUACCGGGAGAAUAAGCUCCGGCUAACUCCGUG